rnacentral:rRNA from 1 species
CCUACGGGUGUCAGCAGUGAGGAAUAUUGGUCAAUGGGCGCGAGCCUGAACCAGCCAAGUAGCGUGAAGGAUGACUGCCCUACGGGUUGUCAACUUCUUUUAUAAAGGAAUAAAGUGAGGCACGUGUGCCUUUUUGUAGGUACUUUAUGAAUAAGGAUCGGCUAACUACGUGCCAGCAGCCGCGGUAAUGCGGAGGAUCCGAGCGUUAUCAGGAUUUAUUGGGGUUAAAGGGAGCGUAGAUGGGUUGUUAAGUCAGUUGUGAAUGUUUGCGGCUCAACCGUAAAAUUGCAAUUGAUACUUGCAGCAUUGAGUACAGUUGAGGUAGGCGGAAUUCGUGGUGGAGCUGUGAAAUGCUUAGAUAUCACGAAGAACUCCGAUUGCGAAGGCAGCUUACUAAACUGCCACUGACAUUGAUGCUCGAAAGUGUGGGUAUCAAACAGGAUUAGAUACCCCUGUAGUC